rnacentral:rRNA from 1 species
GGGGGAUAUUGCACAAUGGAGGAAACUCUGAUGCAGCAACGCCGCGUGAGGGAAGAAGGUUUUCGGAUUGUAAACCUCUGUCCUCGGUGACGAAACAAAUGACGGUAGCCGAGGAGGAAGCUCCGGCUAACUACGUGCCAGCAGCCGCGGUAAUACGUAGGGAGCAAGCGUUGUCCGGAUUUACUGGGUGUAAAGGGUGCGUAGGCGGCUUUGCAAGUCAGGCGUGAAAACCAUGGGCUUAACCCAUGGACUGCGUUUGAAACUGUGGAGCUUGAGUGAAGUAGAGGUAGGCGGAAUUCCCGGUGUAGCGGUGAAAUGCGUAGAGAUCGGGAGGAACACCAGUGGCGAAGGCGGCCUACUGGGCUUUAACUGACGCUGAAGCACGAAAGCAUGGGUAGCAAAC